rnacentral:rRNA from 1 species
GACGAACGCUGGCGGCGUGCUUAACACAUGCAAGUCGAGCGGUAAGGCCCUUUCGGGGGUACACGAGCGGCGAACGGGUGAGUAACACGUGGGUGACCUGCCUUUAGCUCUGGGAUAAGCCUGGGAAACCGGGUCUAAUACCGGAUAUGACUCCGCGGCGCAUGUUGUGGGGUGGAAAGCCUUGUGCGGCUGGAGAUGGGCCCGCGGCCUAUCAGCUUGUUGGUGGGGUGAUGGCCUACCAAGGCGACGACGGGUAGCCGGCCUGAGAGGGCGACCGGCCACACUGGGACUGAGACACGGCCCAGACUCCUACGGGAGGCAGCAGUGGGGAAUCUUGCGCAAUGGGACGAAAGCCUGACGCAGCGACGCCGCGUGAGGG